GGAAUUGUUCGCAAUGGGCGCAAGCCUGACGACGCAACGCCGCGUGGAGGAUGAAGAUCUUCGGGUCGUAAACUCCUGUCGAGCGGGACGAAUAUCCAGUCAGCUAACAUCUGACUGGACUGACGGUACCGCUAAAGGCAGCCCCGGCUAACUCCGUGCCCGCAGCCGCGGUAAUACGGGGGGGGCAAGCGUUGUUCGGAAUUACUGGGCGUAAAGGGCUCGUAGGCGGCCAACUAAGUCAGACGUGAAAUCCCCAGGCUCAACCUGGGAACUGCGUCUGAUACUGGAUGGCUUGAAUCCGGGAGAGGGAUGCAGAAUUCCAGGUGUAGCGGUGAAAUGCGUAGAUAUCUGGAGGAAUACCGGUGGCGAAGGCGGCAUCCUGGACCGGCAUUGACGCUGAGGAGCGAAAGCUAGGGGAGCAAA
rnacentral:rRNA from 1 species